rnacentral:misc_RNA from 1 species
GAUGAAGAACGCAGCGAAAUGCGAAAAGUAAUGUGAAUUGCAGAAUUCAGUGAAUCAUCGAAUCUUUGAACGCACAUUGCGCCCGCCAGUAUUCUGGCGGGCAUGCCUGUUCGAGCGUCAUUUCAACCAUCAAGCCCCCCGGCUUGUGUUGGGGACCUGCGGCUGCCGCAGGCCCUGAAAAGCAGUGGCGGGCUCGCUGUCACACCGAGCGUAGUAGAUCUCAUCUCGCUCAGGGCGUGCUGCGGGUUCCGGCCGUUAAACCACCUUCAUAACCCAAGGUUGACCUCGGAUCAGGUAGGAAGACCCGCUGAACUUAAGCAUAUCAAUAGCGGAGGA